GGUUUCUCACCAUUUGUGCAGAGUUCAGAGCCUCCAUGGGUUUGUGUGUUUCAUGGCUGAGUCUACGCUUGGUAGCAGUAGGUUCAAUGGAUCUGAUUUCUGGGUAGUAUGAAGGGGUAGACCCUAUCUUUUAUUUCUCUGGCAGAUUGAGCUCCCUCCCUGCCCAUGUGUGACUAAUAUGGGAACUCUGGGUCCUAAGGCUAGCAGUCUAAUCCCAUAAUAUAGCCAACUAACAACUCAUUCAUUCUAAAAACCUUGAAACAUUGAAAGAGCACCUAUGAAUGCUAGGGACUGUUCUAAACACUAGGGAGAGAGAGUGAAAAAACCGGCAAAAGAGGACCUGCCCUCACGGAAAUUCCAUUUUAGAGUGUGUGUGUAUGUGUGGGUGGGUGGCACUAGGAACAAAGUAAAUGAGUAAAUUUAUUUUAUUUGGUGUGAUAAAAGAAGAGAAUGCUAUGAAGAAAUAAAUUAGUGAAGGAGAUGAGGAAAACAAGGACGAGAGAGAUUAAAUGUUCUACUGGGAUUAAAAAGAAGAUUAUGAAAGUCUCCCAUAUCUGAGACCAUGCCCCUCAACAUUUUCUGGUUCAUUCUUCUGUCUAAAGUGCAAUAGGAAAAAGGAAUUUCCUCAAUUAUAACAUGUUGCUGGUAUUAUGGAGCCAUUUUUCAGUGUAACCUGCACGUUGGGGAUAUAGUUUUUAUUUUCAGUGAGAUCGUUUCUUCUGAGGGCACACCUACUCCUGCUUCCCGCCAAGCUGGCCGCACUGUCAGACAUCGCCUAGUGGAAUAUUGGAGUGGAUAGCAGUGUAUGACCUCUUUGACUUUCCGCUCCAUGGCCCGACACCUCCACGAUUCGGCUGUGUGCCAGGCUCCAGGAUCACUCCUCACGCAUCUUGGGAAUCCAACCCAGGGCUUCAAAUAAAGGAACGACUGUCUGUCAGAGAUGCUGUGUUGGGGGACAUGUCGAUCCACAUCACCUCUGAAAUCCCUUCCAGUUAGUGUACCCUUUGAAUCUGUGACAUUCUGCACCCUCCAAGAGUCCGUCUACUUCUAAGAAAAUGAGACAAAGAGUUCUUUACAAAAUUGUUGGAGGAGGUCAUUGAAAGGACGUGACUGCUUGUUGACCCAUGAGCUGGACCUGGUCAGACAGAAGUUCCUCACCCUGUCCUUGGAAUGUACACUCUGCCCAUCAUUCCCACUCGAGAGAGCAAUGUGUUGUUGAGACCAUGAAGACUGAACAUGUGGCUGAACCCUGGCAUUCUGGUACAGUCUCUUGAAUUGAGUCUCACUGAGUGGACACGGCCGUGUGCCCAUUCUUGAAACAGUCAUUCUGCCUGGUGAUAAAGAACGUGGGAUUGGCCAGGCUUCCCUCGAUCAUCUGUUUUUGAAGGGAUGGAGAGAGACCGAAAUCAGCCAAGAGGGAGCACUGUUCGCCCAAAGGAAAAUUAAGAUGGCAACACGAUGUUCCACGAUAAAACUGACACAAAAAACAAUGCAAAAUUUGUCUAAGAGAGGUUCAGCAAGCAUGAGAAAAACAUCUGAUAUCUCUCAGAGCCCGCCAAGUUCGCAGCUUACAGUGCCAGAGUAAUUAUGGGAUGAUUUGAACAGAGGCAAUGCAUGGGGAAGCCACUUCCAAAUGUAUCAGCAUUGUUAUUUUCAAGAAAACACUGUGAGUUGCGGCGGGAGGUCUGCGGUUCACGGCAGCCACUGGAGAAUUCAAAAGGGAAAGAAGAGAAGCAGCGCGCAGUGAGAAGUCCAGACCCGUGGUUCUCUGUUUUGACAACAGUGAUGCCCUGGCCCCAAAUGGGGUGCGGCUCUUUGGAUUCCCACACUCUGACUUCUCAGGUUCAGUGAACUCAGGGAUAAGUUACCAGAAACCAGGUAUUCCCUUAGCAAGCGAGAAGAGGAAUUAAAUACUUCUCUCGUCUAAUGCAUUUACUACUUCUCUCUUAUAAUUCAUAUCUCG
ensembl:lncRNA